rnacentral:SRP_RNA from 1 species
GCCAGGCACGGUGACACGUGCCUGUAGUCCCAGCUACUGCGGAGGCUGAGACUGGAGGAUCACUUGAGUUCAGGAGUUCUGGGCUGUAGUGCACUAUGCCAGUCGGGUGUCCACACUAAGUUCGGCAUCAAUAUUGUGAUGUCCCGGGAGCAGGGGACCACCAGGUUGUCUAAGGAGGGGUGAACCAGGUAGGUCGGAAACAGAGCAGGUCAAAACUCCUGUGCUGAUCAGUAGUGGGAUUGCGUCUGUGAAUAGCCACUGGACUCCAGCCUGGGCAGCAUUGUAAGAUCCCAUCUCU